AGCAGCCGCGGUAAUUCCAGCUCCAAUAGCGUAUAUUAAAGUUGUUGCAGUUAAAAAGCUCGUAGUUGAAUUUCGGGAUUAGUACGUUGGUCGUGCCUUAGGUACGUACUGGUGUUACUGGUUCCUACCUUCUGACGAACCAUCAUGUCAUUAAUUUGGUGUGGCGGGGAAUCAGGACUGUUACUUUGAAAAAAUUAGAGUGUUUAAAGCAGGCUCGCGCUUGAAUACAUUAGCAUGGAAUAAUGAAAUAGGACGUUGACCCUAUUUUGUUGGUUUCUAGGAUUGACGUAAUGAUUAAUAGGGAUAGUUGGGGGCAUUAGUAUUCAAUUGUCAGAGGUGAAAUUCUUGGAUUUAUUGAAGACUAACUACUGCGAAAGCAUUUGCCAAGGAUGUUUUCAUUAAUCAAGAACGAAAGUUAGGGGAUCGAAGACGAUCAGAUACCGUCGUACUCUUAACCAUAAACUAUGCCGACUAGGGAUCGGAUGAUGUUAUUUUUAAUGACUCAUUCGGCGCCUUACG
rnacentral:rRNA from 1 species